rnacentral:lncRNA from 1 species
GAAAAUGCCUGACGCAUACACUCACCGCCCGGGGAGACGGUGAGGUUAUGUGGGGCUUGUACCCACUAAAAACCUCAGCUUUUGUGCCUUCUUCUGCUUUUUAGAGAGGGGCCACGAGGACCAAAGACGACUUUCGUGACCUCUCGGCAGUGGCUGGUCGCCUCCAUCUACUGGCGAUCCAUCUCAGCAGCAGCUCGUGCAAUGCAGAAUGUGUCCACGGCUUUCCAGCCGGCCUCGCUGCCGAUCAUCACCCUCACCAAAUUCAGCAGCGAGAAAUCCUGCCCAGUAUAUGGCGCCAACGCAUUGCGCUGCUCGUCCCAGGCGGGACACAGCUCAAUGGUGUGCUGCGCUGUAUCUGAGCUACUACCGCACUGGUGGCACACGGGGGUACGUUGCGACAGUGUUCUUCUCCAUUUUCUUCGGAAUCGGCUUGUGGGCUCCAUUCCUUAUAGUGUGGUAUUCUAUGGCUAAACGGUGUUUGUAAUUAAUUGAAGAGAAAUAAAUUGAAAAAAUAUU